rnacentral:snRNA from 1 species
GGAUGUGAGGGCAAUCUGGCUGCGACAUCUGUCACCCCAUUGAUCUCCAGAGUCAAUUUGGCUGAUCUGGCUGGCUAGGCGGGUGUCCCCUUCCUCCCUUACUGCUCCAUGUGCGUCCCUUCCAAAGCUGCACACUCAGUCAAAGAGGACAACCACCCUUGCUGGAGGAGGACUGGUCUUCAGUCAGAGGUAUAUGAAUAGCUGCACCCCUCUGCUAGAACCUCCAAACAAGCUCUCAAGAUGCUACUUGGGGCACCUUCAUCCCUUAUCAGAGUGCCUGCGUUCCGACUCUGCUCCCAAUUCCAGACUCCUGUGAGCCACAUUUCUCAUGUUGGGCAUUUGAG